rnacentral:misc_RNA from 1 species
AAAAGUCGUAACAAGGUCUCCGUUGGUGAACCAGCGGAGGGAUCAUUACAGAGUUGAAAAACUCCAAACCCACUGUGAAUAUACCUCUGUUCCUUCGGUAGGCGGCCCCCGGGGGGGCUCUGCCGUGACCGGCGCCUGGCGAGGGGCAAACCAAACUCUGCUACUUUAGUGUUACCUCUGAGCAACUGAAAAAAUAAGUCACAACUUUCAACAACGGAUCUCUUGGUUCUG